GUCACACCAUGGGAGUGGGUUGUACCAGAAGUAGAUAGCUUAACCUUCGGGGGGGCGUUUACCACGGUAUGAUUCAUGACUGGGGUGAAGUCGUAACAAGGUAACCGUAGGGGAACCUGCGGUUGGAUCACCUCCUUACC
rnacentral:rRNA from 1 species